rnacentral:snRNA from 1 species
GAGAUUACCGGACGCUUC